UACAGAGGUUGCGAGCGUUGUUCGGAAUUAUUGGGCGUAAAGCGCGUGUAGGCGGGACGGCAUGUCGGACGUGAAAGCCCUCGGCUCAACCGAGGAAGUGCGUUCGAAACUACCGUUCUUGAGUGCCGGAGAGGGUGGCGGAAUUCCCGGUGUAGAGGUGAAAUUCGUAGAUAUCGGGAGGAACACCAGUGGCGAAGGCGGCCACCUGGACGUGCACUGACGCUGAGACGCGAGAGCGUGGGGAGCAAAC
rnacentral:rRNA from 1 species